GUAGAAAAAUAAAAUAGCUCUGUAAUUGCUUCUGUUACUUAUCUGAUUUAGUAAAUGAAACUAGACCAAUUCUGAUUUCACAUGCUCUCAUAUUUGUGGAACGUGCUUUUCAUUUUUUAAUUAAAAGCACUUUAAAUUUGAAAUGCGACACUUUCACACUCUUUAUUCAUUUGAUGACUGUCUCUUACAUAUCCGUUUAAAGACCAUAUUGUGGUGGUGUAAUUUGAUACGUAGAUGUCGUUACCGCCAAUGCGCGCUGUAGUUCAGUUUAAAAGCCACAUCACUGCGCUUGAUAAAGACACGCCCGCUAAAAAACUACAACUCCCAGCUUACAAUUGGUGAAUAUUUUAACUCAGCCAAUAAGAGGGCGACCUCGACCAAAGAGAGGCUGGACCGACAAACCUCGGGGAGAGAGAAAGAGAGAGAAAGAGAAAGAGAAAAAGGGGGAACAAUAGCGUUGUGCUAUUAGGCCUUUAACAUUUUUUAAAGCACUAUACUGUUGAUCCCUUCGAUAAUUAAUAUUAUUCAUAAAAUAACCCGUUUUAUUUAUCAAAUUAUUGCAUCUUUGUCUAAAAUCGCAGACUUCAUCGCUCUGAAUACAUCAGGACGUGCUUCCAUUCAGCAGCUCGCUCGGUAUUAAUAAAUGUAGGUCAUAAUCCUCCGUUUUUAAGCCGGUUAGCGUCUACAUCACGCCUGCAACGCCUUCUCACACCGUCACCAGUAACGUUACAUGCCGCUUUGUAACGUUACAAGCGCUGAGCGUCAGUGAGCCGUGGAUGAAUAAUGAACAUAUGUACAGGAUAAAACUGACCCAUAUAUUGAUCUAACAAACAGCGUGGGCAGAAACAUUUUAGCUGAAGCGGAAACCGUCUCCGUAUUUCAUGUAGGCAAAAAAGGCUUAUCAAGACCGGGACGCUGAAAAAAAAAAAAAAAGCUUACUCAGGACAAACGGGUCAGAAAUGUUGUGCACACAACUGGCAGGCGAGUCCAGUGAUCUUUAAAUGAUAUCAGUAGAGCCUGAGCACCACACGUUUGGGAAGUCCGGUGAAAACGAUCGUUUGGGUGGAUGCACUGUACGGGGCCGUUCACAGUUCGAGCUCUGCGCUCAAGAGCAGCUAGACGGAGCGCAACGGAGUGGAACAGAACGAGGGAUCUCUAGACGCGCUUUUAAAAGUUAAACGGAGCCCCUGAAUAAUAUAAGAUAGAAUAGAAUAAGAACGAAACGGGUUCCAACGAACAAAUACGUCGUUCUGGACUAUGUUUAUAUAAAUAUACAUAAAAGAAUAAAAUCAAUAGCUGGACGCGAGAAAGCAUCCUGUACGGACGUCCCUUAACUUCGGUUUUCGCGCUCACCUCCUGAGACCGCGCGCUACAACGGGAGCCCGUGCAGUCAGACAGACUGAUGCAUCCGCAGCAGGGUUUCGCGGCCUAGGUGGCACUGAUGUGCAGUCAAGACCUUUAAAGCUGCAGAUCUCACAGAUGAAUUCUCACAUUCUGGCUUUACAGGAAGAGUCUCCAAGUUAUGAACAGGAAUUCCACUAUAUCAUUACCAGCUAUUUGUGUCAUGCUCUAAAUUUAUCUUCAAUUACCUCAUCAGUGCUAUUAUAAUAGGGCGGUUCUCUGCUCAUGAUUGGGGGUCCCACCUGACCCUGUAUGAGUGCUAAGGCCUGAGAAUUGGAUUACAGCUUAUCCAUAUCAACAGCUGUAGCUUUCUAACAAAGCCUGUGGGCCCCUGGGCAUAUGUCAAGCAAGCCAGAAUUCACCAAGGACACUCCUGACUGGAAAAGUGGAAUGGUAGAGGAAUAUCCGGUGCCAUAAUCCUCUUUCCUCUCCUCAACACAUUACCUGACGCACCAGCAUAUCGACCGGCUAACACUACACACGGAAGCAUAAGAGGAAUGCUGUAAACCAGUGUGGGUUUUGUCUUAACAUGUAUCUCUGCACAUGAAAGGAGUUAAGACCUGUCAACACACAAGAGGUCCUCAGGGACUGAGCCUUUGUGUGGACGCAACUGUCACGAUGAAAGAUUCUCUCCCAAGACUUAAACAUCACAGCGACCUAUGAAAGCAGGAUUAAAUUGAUCAAGUCAGAUGCCACCCAGCUUCCCAGAAGGCUUCCUCCUCACAUUAAUUCAUCUUCAAGACUGACUGACCUCACCUCAUACAAACCAGAAAUUACAUCUACUGAAGUAUCAAAGGCCUGCAUUGCUUAAUGACCUUUACUUGAACCAUGGACAAAUAAAGGCAGACUCUCUGAGCUUCAGGUGCUGCCAACGCUGUAUGGCGCAUCUCUAUUUGAUGUCUGCUAAACUUAAGAAUGGGAAUAGAGAAGGGUCACCUGUCUGUGAUAAGACUGACUGUCUAACUUCCGAAACACUUGAUAGCAACUGUAGCAGGAUAUCCUGGGGCAGAAGCAAAUAGUAACCUUGCCAGCUUUCUAUUUAAAGGGCUCUGACAACAUCUAGUGGUGAGAUGUAUAAUAUCCCUCAUUCUGCCAUAUGUUUCUGUGAUGCCAUUGAACUAUGAAAACUGUGAAAUCUGAUACAUCAGUGAGAUGAGGAAAAGGCCAUUAGGAUCCAUUAACCUCAACACAACCCCCCAAAACACCACUCAACCAGGAAGUUGCUCCUCUCAGCACAUCGCCAGCGCUUUUUUGCUCUGGUUAACAAAAGGGAGUUCAGCUGAGUUUACUUUGCUGACCAGAGCACCUUUUUCUCCCUAAUUGUCUUGUCUUGCUUAAUUUAUUACCAUUGUGAUGUGACCACUGAAGUAAAAUCUCAAACGUGCAAUAAUCAGUUUUAUGGGCUUUCCAGAGCACAGUAUGAAAGAGUUUACUGAUUAUUUAUACUUAUUUUCUUGUUAUAUUGAAUUUAAAUGUAUUUAUAUACUUACUAUUUUUAAAUAUAUAUGUGUGUGUGUUGUAUAAUGUAUGUAUGUAAAGUGAGAGUAUACACAUUUAGUUACCAAAAUAAUCUAUUUCCGAUAAGAAACACAAAAUUUCUUUUUUUUUUAAAUAAAUGUUAUUUUCAAUUAUUUUCUUCUUUUUUUUCAAAUUCAUCAAAGGAUCCUAAAAUAAAUAUAUUACACUUUUUAUAAAAACAUAAAGCAGCACAAC